CAUACUGCAUAUGACUGCAACUAAAAGUAUAGAAGAAGCUUUGGGAGCAGGCAGCGAGUAGAGAGAGACAGGACAAGUUUCCAGCACCUAAGGAAACUGGAAGCUUGGACUUCAUGAACAGUAACGAAGAAUGAUUGACAUGGAGCCUCAGCAAAUCCGGUACUGUCAGAGGGGCCACAGCAUCGGAGAGACAGGCAACAGAGUGCUCCGAAGGCUCUGCUUGGUAUGAGAACAUGCAUGGAAAUGUGCCAGCGUUCUUGGCAUUAAUGUGAUCCAGGAGUCAAGUUAAUAUCAGCUUCAGCACCAACCUCAAGAGCUGGGAUGUGUCCAAAAUCCUCCUGGAGAGUCCCAGGGUGCAGGAUUCCACCUUCUGGCACUGACCAAAUUCACGAGCUUCUGGGGUCUUCACUUCCACCUGGCUUCUACCGGCUGCCAGACCCUUCAACCUCCCUCCUAGCAUAGCACUCGCUGCAGGAAGCUGGCUCCAGGACUUCACUAGUGACCCAAGGGAAUAGGAUGGAGGAAGGAGGGGAGAUCCUUUAAAACUCAAUGCCAAAUUUC